UAGGCCAAACCAAACCAACUCAACCAAGGGGACGAGCUUAGAAGAAUCAGUGGGAAAAGAAGACUUAUGAUAAGAAGAGCCAACAUCGAAGGAUCAAAAAGCAAUGUCGCUAUGAACACUUGGCUGCCACAAACUAGUUAUCCCUAUGGUAACUUUUUUGACACCUCUAGUUUCAAAGUUGGAAACACUAAAGGAUAAUUGAAGCUAGAGGUGAUGCCUCCACUCGAGAAGUCCAAACUAAAGAGUUUACAACUUAUUGUGCCUCUUCCUGAAGCUAGAGGUGUCAAAAAAGUUUCCACAAGGAUAACUGGCUUAUGGCAGCCAAGCAUUUAUAGCAAUGUUGCUUUUUGAUCCUUCGAUGUCAAUUCUUCUUAUCAUUGUGAAGCAGAAUUUACCAAGUGUUGGAUUGUUCACCCACCAAUAGGGAACGUGAGCUGGAUUUAGAUCAUCAUGAGACAAGUUAGUUUUAACCUAUUGAUGAACUGUGCCGCAAUAGUAAUUCAACUUAGUACGAGAGGAACCAUUGAUUUGCAUAAUUGGUAAUUGCACUUGGUAGAAAAGUCAAUAGCAUGAAGCUACCAUGUGUGGGAUUAUGACUGAACGCCUUUAAGUCAGAAUCUGUGCUAGAUGCGGUACUCUCUACCUCCUC
rnacentral:ncRNA from 1 species